GACGGAGGGUGCAAGCGUUGUUCGGAAUUACUGGGCGUAAAGGGCGCGUAGGCGGUUUGCUAAGUUCGGUGUGAAAUCCCCCGGCUCACCCGGGGAAUUGCGCCGGAAACUGGCAGACUCGAGUACCGGAGAGGAGGGUGGAAUUCCUGGAGUAGCGGUGAAAUGCGUAGAUAUCAGGAGGAACACCGGUGGCGAAGGCGGCCCUCUGGACGAGUACUGACGCUGAGGCGCGAAAGCGUGGGGAUCAAACAGG
rnacentral:rRNA from 1 species